rnacentral:rRNA from 1 species
GUAGGUGGCAAGCGUUGUCCGGAAUUAUUGGGCGUAAAGCGCGCGCAGGCGGUUCUUUAAGUCUGAUGUGAAAGCCCACGGCUCAACCGUGGAGGGUCAUUGGAAACUGGAGAACUUGAGUACAGAAGAGGAAGGCGGAAUUCCACGUGUAGCGGUGAAAUGCGUAGAGAUGUGGAGGAACACCAGUGGCGAAGGCGGCUUUCUGGUCUGUAACUGACGCUGAGGCGCGAAAGCGUGGGGAGCAAACAGGGAUUAGAUACCCUGGUAGUCCACGCCGUAAGCGAUGAGUGCUAAGUGUUAGGGGGGUUUUCCGCCCCCCUUAGUGCUGCAGCUAACGCAUUAAGCACUCCGCCUGGGAGUACGGCCGCAAGGCUG